rnacentral:rRNA from 1 species
UAUUGGACAAUGGGGGAAACCCUGAUCCAGCAAUGCCGCGUGAAUGAUUAAGGUCCUCUGGAUUGUAAACUUCUUUUAUCUGGGACGAAAAAAGGUCUUUCUAGAUCACUUGACGGUACCAGAUGAAUAAGCACCGGCUAACUCCGUGCCAGCAGCCGCGGUAAGACGGAGGGGGCUAGCGUUGUUCGGAAUGACUGGGCGUAAAGGGCGCGUAGGCGGUUUUUUAAGUGAGGCGUGAAAGCCCUGGGCUUAACCCAGGAGGUGCGUUUCAUACUGGAAGACUUGAGUACGAGAGAGGAAAGCGGAAUUCCUAGUGUAGAGGUGAAAUUCGUAGAUAUUAGGAAGAACACCAGUGGCGAAGGCGGCUUUCGGAUUGUAACUGACGCUGAGGCGCGAAA